rnacentral:lncRNA from 1 species
AACACAUCUGGAGAUGUCAUUCUGGAUUUGCAGUGAGGCAGUUGUGGCAGGAUUUUUAGUCUGAAAGGUGUUUUAAUUUCCAUAGCUAUCUGUUCAGCUUUUUAAUGUUUGCUGUUUUAAAUCUCAGACAGCAUGAUUGUUCCAUAGUGCUUAGCUUUUACAUACAUGUAGAGAAUGAAUAUCAGAUAAGGAAAGACAAAUAAGCUUAAAUGUCCAAAGGUCAGGGCAGCAGAUCUGCCAUGCUAUAUAUUUUCUAGAAACCUCAUAGGAAUCAUUAAGUGUGGAUAUGAGUGAGGAGAAACAUGUAGAAGCUCUCUUUAAGACUGGUCAGAUGAGCAGCACAGUCUUAUCUUUUUCUCUGUUAGAGCUGUUGGCUAGAGCUGUGGUGAGGGUGAAUGAACGCUAGGGAAAUAUCAGUGUUUGUACCUGAAGUAUUUCUGCCUGCUUUGCAUUUUUACCUUUAUUCAGACUUCCCAGGCCCCUUAUGGGGAACUUGAGAGGAAAUGGUGCAAAAGGAUUCGGAGAAGGAUAUCUAGGUCGGAAGGUUAAAAAAAUCUGCUGCUCAAAACUACCCAAACUCAACAAAAAAGCACAGAAAGGUAUGAAUCCCAAAAUGACUCUGAUGGAAAUAAGAAAAUAUUGCAAGCCUUGUCCUCAGGCAGCCCCUCCAGUGAUUCCUGGACCGCUUCCGCAGUUGAAAUGAGCAGACUCAGAGCAGGGUGAAGGGCAUCUGCUUGCCAAUGUGUUUCACAGUGCUUUGCUUGGUUGAGGGUUCUCCUUUCACAGACUGGGCAUGUGUAUAUUAUUUUUGUUUGGGGGAAAAGCUUUGGUUGGUGUAAUGCUUAUUCUUUCCCU